UACGUAGGGACCAAGCGUUGUUCGGAUUUACUGGGCGUAAAGGGCGCGUAGGCGGCUCUGUAAGUCACUUGUGAAAUCUCUGAGCUUAACUCCGAACGGCCAAGUGAUACUGCAUUGCUAGAGUGUAGAAGGGGCAAUCGGAAUUCUUGGUGUAGCGGUGAAAUGCGUAGAUAUCAAGAGGAACACCUGAGGUGAAGGCGGGUUGCUGGGCAAAUACUGACGCUGAGGCGCGAAAGCGAGGGGAGCAAACGGG
rnacentral:rRNA from 1 species